rnacentral:lncRNA from 1 species
GCUUUGUUGCUGUGCUGCUGAAAGAGUGGCCAGUGUUAGCGGCUUUACAGCACUUACAAUUGCUUCUACCGCAUUGUUUGUAACACCCAAAUUUAGAAGUUUCUUGUUUCUUUACUUUUGAUGUCACAAGUAUGUCUUUGAGAUUUUUGGGUCUGCGAUAGGCAAUAAUAGGAGGUGAUGGAAAAAUUUCUUUUAAGGAAGAGUCAUUUUCGAUAAGACGCCAGUGCUUUCGG